ACGAACGCUGGCGGCGUGCUUAACACAUGCCAGUCGCACGGAAAGGCCCUGCUUUUGUGGGGUGCUCGAGUGGCGAACGGGUGAGUAACACGUGAGUAACCUGCCCUUGACUUUGGGAUAACUUCAGGAAACUGGGGCUAAUACCGGAUAGGAGCUCCUGCUGCAUGGUGGGGGUUGGAAAGUUUCGGCGGUUGGGGAUGGACUCGCGGCUUAUCAGCUUGUUGGUGGGGUAGUGGCUUACCAAGGCUUUGACGGGUAGCCGGCCUGAGAGGGUGACCGGCCACAUUGGGACUGAGAUACGGCCCAGACUCCUACGGGAGGCAGCAGUGGGGAAUAUUGCACAAUGGGCGGAAGCCUGAUGCAGCAACGCCGCGUGCGGGAUGACGGCCUUCGGGUUGUAAACCGCUUUCGCCUGUGGCGAAGCGUGAGUGACGGUAAUGGGUAAAGAAGCACCGGCUAACUACGUG
rnacentral:rRNA from 1 species